rnacentral:lncRNA from 13 species
UCUGCCUACAGAAAUCUGUGAUGCAGAAAGCUAACAGAUUUUACUCAGUUCAUACAGAGCUUUGACAUGGGCUAUAUCUACUUCUACGUCCAGACUGUAGACCUGAUAGAUGUUGGGGUCCCUCCCCCGCCGUGUAGCCCUGGGAGAGGGGCCCUGAGGGCACAGACACGGGGCUUCCCUGUCCCUGCUCAGCCUCGUUCCCAUUGGUUGGUUUGUGUUCCCCGCGCGGGCAGAAGGACCCUUGGUCCCGUGACUGGAACAGUUCCUCGGCAGAGCCCCGGCCAUGCGGCUGGAGAAAUAAACAUCUCUGAAACAUCUAGCAAGAAUCUGUCUGUCCAUAUAUAUUUCCUUUCCACGGGACUCCUGGUUUGAUAUAUGCGUGUUGCAGGAUCCCCACUGCAACAAAUGGUGGAGAAUUGAGAGCAGAACGAUCCCCGAUCCCUAAGCGACUGAUUUGUGUGAGUAAACCCUGGAAACUUUGGAUUCCUCUUCUUGGUUUUGCUUUGCUAUUCCAUAUCUAAACUAUGGAGGAACCGUGGGAAGACUCUUGGCUCUCAGAGCCGCAUAUGGACAUUUAUCUUAAACUUAAAACGAUUCUUGAACAACGAUUUGUAAAUUUUAGCUUGAUUCAAGCUCAAAAAGAACUGAAACACUUCCUGGCAUGGUUGUUUAAGAACUUUUUCUAUGUUUCUUGGGAUUUAAUUCUUACCAAGGGCUUUUGGAAAACCGUUUGGACACAGUUAAUACUGGAGUCAAAAUAUAUGCCGAUGGAAGAAUAUUUUCGUGAAUAUUAUUUAGUUACCGAGACUGUUGAGCAAUGUCAGCUGUGUCCUGGCGAAGGGAAGCCUGGCGCAGGGACCGUGCGGCCCAGGCCACGUGCACCGAGCGCUCUGCGAGCAGCAGCGAGGCAGUUCCCGCGCGCGGGCGGAGCCACGCGAGCCGCAGUGUCGGUGGCGGAGCGAGGCGCGGCGGGACCCGGCGGUGCCCGCCCGGUCCUGUGCAGCGCGUGGUGGAGCGAGCCCCGUGAACGCCCGGCCGAGAGGGGCGGCGCGCGGGCGGCGGCUGGCGGCGGUGGCGGUGGAACGGAGCCGCGCCCAGCCGAGACGCGCGCUGGAGCAGGGCGCGGGGGGGUCGUCGCUCGGGGGCCUGGCCGAGACGUGGAUGCAGCGCCCGGCAUCGGCAGCGAAGCUGCGACCAGAGGAGGCGACGCACGGAGAACUGAGCGGCGCGGCCCGGCCCGGCCCGCGCAGCCCCGAACGCGACCCCGGGAAGAGCGCGCAGGCACCAGCAGCCCCGACAAUUCCAACACGGGAGCGACCGAGAGAGCAAAGACGCAGCGAGACAGAAAACAGCAGCCACUCGGAAAAAGGAAAAGAUCAUAGUAACUAAGAUCUUAGGGAUAGUAAAAUGGUAUAAUGUUAAGCAAAAUUAUGGUUUUAUAACAAGGUGUGACAACCAGCAAGACAUAUUCGUGCAUAGAACUGCUAUUAAAAAGAAUAACCCUGAAAAAUGCAUCCCAAGCUUGGGAGAUGGAGAGGUGGUGGAAUUCAAAAUUAUACGAGGUAGAAAAGGGUUACAAGCAUCGCAGGUCACUGGGCCUGAUGGUGUUCCUGUAAAAGGCAGUAUAUAUGCAAAAAAUCGUAGUCAUGUUAGACAAUAUCUCCAUUGUAAGCCCCCCCUACAGUCUCCCUUUCCUAAUCCCACCUUUCCCUUUUACCCUAUGUCCUAUUACCCCCAGUGUAUUCCCAAUCCGUUUUUUCAUCCAUGGUUUCCCUCACAAAACCAUGCUUUUGCCAAUUGUUUCCCCAAAAAUCCCUUUCCAAUGCCGAGUGGGGGAUGAAAAGGGGGAGGGAAGAAGUUAAACCCUCUCCUGCCUCAGUUUCCCCACAAAGCAUGCUCAGAGAGUUCUGUCUCCCUUCUGUCAGCCCUAAGAUGUUCCACAGAAUCUGUUUGGACAUUUAAAGACUCAGGAGGGUGGCUUGUUUUGUCUUGAAACUGUUCUUGUUAUGUUUAUCCAGUUGUUUUCAUUCUCCUUUUAUUAAAAUAAAACGGGUGAGGUGUUGGGGUCCCUCCCCCGCCGUGUAGCCCUGGGAGAGGGGCCCUGAGGGCACAGACACGGGGUUUCCCUGCCCCUGCUCAGCCUCGUUCCCAUUGGUUGGUUUGUGUUCCCUGCGCGGGCAGAAGGACCCUUGGUCCCGUGACUGGAACAGUUCCUCGGCAGAGCUCCGGCCAUGCGGCUGGAGAAAUAAACAUCUCUGAAACAGCUAUCAAGAAUCUGUCUGUCCAUAUAUAUUUCCUUUCCACGGGACUCCUGGUUUGAUAUAUGCAUGUUGCAGGAUCCCCACUGCAACAGUCAACUGUUUGGUAAUAAAAGUUAGAACAUGCAAUAUGAUUG